ensembl:lncRNA
GUUGUUGGGCCCAAUCAGGAAUUUGCAGCUUGCAGGAGUAUUUUGGUUUUUUGACUGAAUGGAGAUUGUGGAUAAAAGCUGAAUAAAACAUGGAUGUGGGAGCUGAGCUUCCACUGACUUUUAGAAGCAGAGUUGGAGCCACCAGAAUUAAUGAUAUUACAAAAAUCUGAGGAUAAUGUUGGGAAGGAAUUCCUGGCUGUGAGGGUGAGAAGGGGCUGGGAUGGAAUUCCCAGAGCAGCUGUGGCUGCCCCUGGAUCCCUGGAGGUGUCCAAGGCCAGGUUGGAUGGGACUUGGAGCACCCGGUCUGGUGGAAUCUGCGCUCCUGCAGUGAAGGUUUUUUGGGAACAGCAGCUGAGUGUGAUUCCCUGUUGCAGAGCUACGCCCAGCCAGGUCUGCAGUACAUCCAGGGCCAGCAGAUCUACACAGCUCACCCCCAGGGAGUCAUCGUGCAGCCGCCCACGGCCGUCACCACCAUCGUGGCGGCCGGGCAGCCCCAGCCCAUCCAGCAGCCAGAGCUGGUGGUCACCAACAACCUCCUGGAUCUGCCGCCGCCUUCCCCUCCCAAACCCAAAACCAUCGUCCUCCCUCCCAACUGGAAAACAGCCCGGGAUCCUGAGGGAAAGAUCUACUACUACCACGUGGUCACCAGGUGCGUGUGUGUGACAGGGCUCACAGGGGUCUGCAGGUGAGGGAGGAGACGAGAGUGUUGACUCCAUGUUCAGAAGGCUUGAUUUAUUAUUUUAUGAUAUAUAUAUAUAUUACAUCAUAACUAACUAAAAAGAAUAGAAGGAAAGGUUUCCUCUCAGAAAGCUAGCUAAGAAUAGAAUAGAAAGGAGUGAUAACAAAAGGCAGCUCUCUGAGACUCUGUCUGAGAUAACUUGGCCUUGAUUGGCCUUUAAUUAUAAACAUCCAACAUGGACCAAUCCCAGAUGAACCUGUUGCAUUCCACAGCAGCAGAUAAUCAAUGUUUACAUUUGUUCCUGAGGCCUCUCAGCUUCUCAGGAGGGAAGAAAUCCCAAGAAAGGAUUUUUAGUGCAAAGAUGUCUGUGGCAGGUGUGGGCAUGGCUGGCCCCUGUCCCCAAGUGCCACAUCCACAGGGCUGGGCCCUGCACCCCUGUCCAGGACAGCCCUUUCCUUGAAGGAGUUUUCCCAAUAUCCAACCUGAGCAUCCCCUGGCACAACUUGAGGCCGUUCCCUCUUGUCCUGUUCUUUGUUUUUUGGGAGAAGAGCCCAGCUGCCAUCUCAAAGAAACACAAUUUCCCCAAUGUUUUUCGUACACCAUUCCCGUCAGUUUUUGAAAUAAUCAGGUUUUUGAUCAAUCCCCUAUGAUUUUACCUGAAAUUAAAAUGAGUUUUGAGCUUCUAAAAAGGUAAUUUCAAAAAUUCCCAACCUCCAUGGGAGGUGUGGAUGAGGAUCCACCUCUGAAAGGAUAAGCAGGAAUAUUUUCUUCCAUAUCCAUUUCCUGCUGUCAGUUGUUGCUCCUGGCACACAUUUCCCUGCAUCCAUAAAUCUUUUCCUUCUCCCUCUUGGAUUCCUCCCCGCUCCUUCAAACACCUGGAACUCAAACCAGUGGAGCAGGAAUUGGUGAAUUGUGUUGUUUGGAAGUUUGGGAUGAGAUGAGGAGACCCAAGGAGGCUGAACCUUCCCUGAGCUCUCUGCUGGG